rnacentral:tRNA from 1 species
GGCUGAAUAGCUCAGUCGGUAGAGCAGCGGACUGAAAAUCCGCGUGUC